rfam:Salmo salar isolate Sally breed double haploid chromosome ssa01, whole genome shotgun sequence.
UCACCAAAGCCCCGUAAGUCGCUCUGGAUAAGAGCGUCUGCUAAAUGACUUAAA